AAUCCAUAGGUUAAUGAGGCGAACCGGGGGAACUGAAACAUCUAAGUACCCCGAGGAAAAGAAAUCAACCGAGAUUCCCCCAGUAGCGGCGAGCGAACGGGGAGGAGCCCAGAGCCUGAAUCAGCAUGUGUGUUAGUGGAAGCGUCUGGAAAGGCGCGCGAUACAGGGUGACAGCCCCGUACACAAAAGCGCAUGUGCUGUGAGCUCGAUGAGUAGGGCGGGACACGUGGUAUCCUGUCUGAAUAUGGGGGGACCAUCCUCCAAGGCUAAAUACUCCUGACUGACCGAUAGUGAACCAGUACCGUGAGGGAAAGGCGAAAAGAACCCCGGCGAGGGGAGUGAAAAAGAACCUGAAACCGUGUACGUACAAGCAGUGGGAGCCCCACCACUAAGCCAGUGGUGAACUCCACAUACGCAUCCUUUGCUGAGGAUACGGUUAACGGAGCGAAAGCGACGUUCAACCGCAAAAGAAGCAGAGGGGGCUUAGUGGUGGGGUGACUGCGUACCUUUUGUAUAAUGGGUCAGCGACUUAUAUUCUGUAGCAAGGUUAACCGAAUAGGGGAGCCGGAGGGAAACCGAGUCUUAAUUGGGCGUUAAGUUGCAGGGUAUAGACCCGAAACCCGGUGAUCUAGCCAUGGGCAGGUUGAAGGUUGGGUAACACUAACUGGAGGACCGAACCGACUAAUGUUGAAAAAUUAGCGGAUGACCUGUGGCUGGGGGUGAAAGGCCAAUCAAACCGGGAGAUAGCUGGUUCUCCCCGAAAGCUAUUUAGGUAGCGCCUCGUGAAUUCAUCUCCGGGGGUAGAGCACUGUUUCGGCUAGGGGGCCAUCCCGGCUUACCAACCCGAUGCAAACUGCGAAUACCGGAGAAUGUUAUCACGGGAGACACACGGCGGGUGCUAACGUCCGUCGUGAAGAGGGAAACAACCCAGACCGCCAGCUAAGGUCCCAAAGUCAUGGUUAAGUGGGAAACGAUGUGGGAAGGCCCAGACAGCCAGGAUGUUGGCUUAGAAGCAGCCAUCAUUUAAAGAAAGCGUAAUAGCUCACUGGUCGAGUCGGCCUGCGCGGAAGAUGUAACGGGGCUAAACCAUG
rnacentral:rRNA from 1 species